UGGGGAAUAUUGCACAAUGGGGAACCGUAGCAUGCAGCCAUGCCGCGUGUAUGAAGAAGGCCUUAGGGUUGUAAAGUACUUUCGGUGAUGAGGAAGGUACUUGGUCUAAUAGGCCAAGUAAUUGACGUUAAUUACAGAAGAAGCACCGGCUAACUCCGUGCCAGCAGCCGCGGUAAUACGGAGGGUGCGAGCGUUAAUCGGAAUGACUGGGCGUAAAGGGCAUGUAGGCGGAUGAUUUAAGUUUAGGUGUGAAAAUCCCCGAGCUCAACUUGGGAAUUGCAUUUAAAACUGGUCGUCUAGAGUAUUGUAGAGGAAGGUAGAAUUCCACGUGUAGCGGUGAAAUGCGUUAGAGAUGUGGAGGAAUACCGGUGGCGAAGGCGGCC
rnacentral:rRNA from 1 species